ensembl:lncRNA
CCCGAGGCCGUCCCCUCUCAUCCUACCUCCCUUACCCAGAGCAGAGGCCGCCCCCCACCUCACUACCACCUCCUCUCAGCAGUAGAGUCUUUCCCAGGCCCUGUGCUGUGCUGCAGACGGACCCAUCCCUUUCCCCCACUGCUCCCCAUGAGGCCUGGGGGGGCGCUGGGCUGUGGGUGAAUGGCGUUGUCUCUGGCAGCACAUACAGCAAGAGGGAUGAAGGGUGACCUCAUUACAGCCUUCCAGGACCUACAGGGAGCCUCCAAACAGGAGGGGAGGCAACUGGGGAGUUGCUCUUUACAAAGUGGUCUGCAGGGCACUGCUGUCUUCAUGUCACUUGAACACAAAGCUGAUGGAAAGGGGAAUGCCUAAAGAUCAAAAGCCAAAUCUUUGGUGUUUGUGAGGAAAAAAAAUGCCCAGCAGCCGUCCUGCAGCACAUCAGUGCUUUGUCUGACUGCGGUGUGAAGGUGUUGCUCGGGACCAGGGACACUUGGACUGGUUGGUGCUACACACUCUUAGGCUACACCAUGAACAGCCUUCAUUUUCCCCUUAAGGAAUGCUGACCUUCCAGCUCCUUCCCACUGCUCCCUGUACCAAGGGGACACUUUGUUGAUGCGAGGAGUGGUGAGCAUAUUGAAGACUGACAGGAGAAAUCACUUUGUGUCUCAAAGCACACACUGGGCCCAGCAGUCCUUGGUGGUGACUGGCAGCCUGGAGACGUCAGGCAGCAUCAGGACCCACUGGCUGCUGUGUUGCUGUGACCUCUGGAACGAGCAAACAGCUCCCACCUUCCUCCUCCAUCCCAGAGCGCCCUGCAGGAGCCGCUGUUCUCUUGUACAGCUCUGUAAGAUGUGAGCAAGCAGAGGAGCAGCACCUUGAAGGAACAUCCAGACACAGCCCUCCUGCUUCCUGACCUCAGCACAGGGAUGCUGAUCUCUGCAAUGCCCUGUCCUUGUCCCCAGGCUCCUCCAGCCCGUUCUUCCAGCCCAGUCCCUCUCACUGGCAGCUCAGCAGUGGUGAGGAUUAAAAAUCAAAAGCAUCCUGCAACAACUACUCCUCUACCUAGGAAAGCACCAAGUCACUCCUGGUUCUACCGCUGUGAUGAGCAAAGGAAACCUUGAGGGAUAGGUUGGGACUUGUUACACUUAGCACUGCUCCCUUCCUCUUUUAGCUAGUAGGCAAUUAUCAGAUCCGAUCAACAGAAACAGACCUUUCCCAGAGCACAGCUCUUGUGCAGUGUUCUGCAGGUUUGGCCAACUGCACGCCUUCGGUGCUUCAGAUCCACCUCACGGUGUUCAGUGUGGCACUCGUGAAUCUUCACUGGGCCCUUCACUGUCCAGGAGGGGACAAUGGGCUGAGCUCUUCCAUCGAGCCUGCAGUCCCCAUUACAUCGCUUUCACUCCCAGCAGCUAUUCAGUUCCUGAGUUCUAUAGUUCCUGCAUUUACUGCCUCCCAUGCAUGGGCUGUUCUCCCUCUCUGAUGCAUAGAAAUGUUGAGCUAAACUAUGAGUUGGCAGCUUGGAAGCUUUUCUUCCAGGUACAAUCUCUGCUUCCUAAGCAGGUUUUUGAGGAUGUGUCUAUUGCAGCUUUCAGCACAUCAGUGACAAUCACAGCCAACCUCAUGGUCACUGAGAACUUCAGUUUGCUGCUUGGCCUCUUUGCCUGGAAACAACAGGAUGUUUGUUUGAGAAUGGAGCAAACAAGAUGUGACACUGUGGAGGCUUUUCAGCUUAAAGGGACCACUUCCAUCCCAGAACGCCGGUCUCAUCCCAGCUCUGCAGGCAGCCACGGCACGUGGGCCUUUUUGGAAAUGCACCUGAAGACCGCUUUGGGAUCCUUCCAUCCCACACUUCCUGGCAGGCUGCUCCAGAGCCUUCCUCCUGAGGUUGUGAGUGCUGACUUCUAAACGCUGGGAUGUUCCCACCCGUCUCCACAGCAGUACCCCUCACACUCAGAAAGGUGGUGCUCUUGCAUAUUUUUACUCUUUUUUCUUCCUUACUUUGUAAGGCUAGAACAGUAAAGCUCCUCAAGCCUAAUGAAGCAGCAGGUUUUUACUCUUUGCAGUACUCUUAAGAAGUGAUAAAUAUUGCCUGGAUUUAAACGUUACUGCCAGUCACGUUUGUUGUUGCAGUGAUCUCAAGCUCGUGUUGUCUCUGACAGCUGAAGGACAGCAGAGCUCCAGGAACUGAAGCCUUUCAGUCAAGUGAACUCUAAAGUAAGAAAACAAUCGUAUUGGUUUGUCUCAAUCAUCUGUGGCCAUUCCGAGAACGUGCAAAUGGCUCAUUAGCAGUUGUAGUGCUUUCACCAGUUAUUAAAUUCUGCUGGGCCAGUAAGCAAAGUCAAACUGUGUUGCAGUUGCAGAUGAAGUUGGUGCAAAGCAGCAGGGAUGAGGGCUGCAGUGGUGCGUCAGCUGUGGGUCACCACUGCGAGCUGCCUGCACAACAAAGCCUGUAAUUUAAUGCCCUUGGCAGUUAUUUGUGCAUCUGUAUCUCAUGAUUCAGGCUGACAAAAACAUUCCCAAUUCAGAACAUAAGAAAAAGUAUAAAAAUGGGAGUGAUACCACAUGUCUGUGCUGGUUCCCAGUCACUCUGAAUGGGUUAGAUGGUGCUUAUCUCAAUUUCAGAACAGUAAGCUUGGCCUGCAGGAUGGAUUUCAUGCUCUAAGUAUGCAGACAAAACUCUUCCUGGUUGGAGGAUAAUUCUGAUGAGUUCUCGAGUCACCAAUCCAAGAAUGGAGGUGUGGAAGGAGCCCAAGGGGAGCAGCUGCUUCCAUCAGUGAGGGAGCAGGUACUGAUCUCAUGAGCAGACACAGAAUCACACAGAAUCAUAGAGUCAUAGAGUGGCUUGGGUUGGAAGGGACCUCAAGGAUCAUGGAGCUCCAACCCCCCACCACACACAGGGCCACCAACCUCCCCAUUCCAUACCAGCCCAGGCUGCCCAGGGCCCCAUCCAACCUGGCCUUCAACACCUCCACGGAUGGACGGGGCAUCCACAGCCUCUCUGGGCAGCUGUUCCAGCACCUCACCGCUCUCAUAUCAAAGAACUUCUCCCUCACAU